UUUUUUUUUAAAAUGUUGAAAUUUUUCUGUUUUCAUAAACCUUUUAGCUAUUUUCCCACUGUUUGGCAGUGCUGUGAUGUUGAGUUAGGCAUGUACAUUUGGAUUUCUUGUAUGGUUGUCGAUAAUAAAUUUACAUUGUUACCGGUAUUGAAAGUUUAUUUUUUGUUCUUCCCAUUAUUUAUUUUUCUGUACUGGUCAACAUUUUUUUUUUUGAAAUAG